UACGUAGGGUGCGAGCGUUAAUCGGAAUUACUGGGCGUAAAGCGUGCGCAGGCUGUUUUGUAAGUCAGAUGUGAAAUCCCCGGGCUCAACCUGGGAACUGCGUUUGAAACUACAAGGCUAGAGUGUAGCAGAGGGGGAUGGAAUUCCACGUGUAGCAGUGAAAUGCGUAGAGAUGUGGAGGAACACCGAUGGCGAAGGCAGCCCCCUGGGUUAACACUGACGCUCAGGCACGAAAGCGUGGGGAGCAAACAGG
rnacentral:rRNA from 1 species